GACGAACGCUGGCGGCGUGCUUAACACAUGCAAGUCGAACGGAAAGGCCCUGCUUUUGUGGGGUGCUCGAGUGGCGAACGGGUGAGUAACACGUGAGUAACCUGCCCUUGACUUUGGGAUAACUUCAGGAAACUGGGGCUAAUACCGGAAGGAAGCUCUGCCUGCUGGGUGGGGGUGGGAAAGUUUCGGCGGUUGGGGAUGGACUCGCGGCUUAUCAGCUGGUUGGUGGGGUAGUGGCUUACCAAGGCUUUGACGGGUAGCCGGCCUGAGAGGGUGACCGGCCACAUUGGGACUGAGAUACGGCCCAGACUCCUACGGGAGGCAGCAGUGGGGAAUAUUGCACAAUGGGCGGAAGCCUGAUGCAGCAACGCCGCGUGCGGGAUGACGGCCUUCGGGUUGUAAACCGCUUUCGCCUGUGACGAAGCGUGAGUGACGGUAAUGGGUAAAGAAGCACCGGCUAACUACGUG
rnacentral:rRNA from 1 species